GUCUCACCCAGUUGGCUGAAUGGAAAAGAGGUGUCCAGAAACGGAAUUAAAGACAAAAGUGCAACUCUGGUGUGAUUAUCUACGGAUAGAAGAUAAAGUCAGUCAAAGUGAUGCGGUUCUUUCUGUUUCUUCUGUGGGACAUCUGCCACAGGAUGGCUUUCAAGACUGGGAGAGAACUGGUGUUCUGCCCUAGCACCCGGCCUGCAGAGAGCAAUGCUCCUAUGAGACAGAGCUGGCGUCAGGAUUGGAAGGAAGUGAUUUCGGCACCACUUCAACUAUUUACAAAAUCAACCCUGAUCUCCUUUGAGAACCUGGAGAGUGCCAGUGAAUGGACUGUUGUGCUGUUAUACAGUAGCAAUGGAAUCUUUGCUGGUCACUGGCACCAAUUACGGUAUUGGAGAGUUGUUUAUUAAGUAUCCACUACCUUUAUCAAGUGCCUGCCACUUCCAGGUACUUAAAAAGCACUGGAUACAAAAGAUGACUCAACAGGAACAUAUGGGACGAUAUCCUGGAUGGUUUCGAGGCAUCGUUUCCUGAGCCCUGAGGUUUGAUGAAGAUGUCCCAUUUAGGACUGAGUGUUCCACAGCCUCUCAUCCUCUGCACACUGUUCACUCAUGGCUAUCUAUACAAGCUCUCAUCUGUAGGAGGACACUUUUCUGAUGCUGGCUCAGUGAGACACUGAUCUAUGCAUACAGCAGAAUGUUGUUAGGCGUCAUUUUAUUGUUAUUGUCCUUCUAGCAGAACAGUAGUGUUUGGUUUGCUCCUGGGUCCAUGCCUGUCUAGUCUCAGGUUCUUGGCCAACUGAGAAGUGUCAGGGACUGGCUUUAUUUCAUGGAGUGGUCCCUAAAUCCAACCAGACAGUGGUUGGUUACUCCCACAUCUUGUGUGGCAUUGUUGUACCAGCAUAUCAUGCAGAGAGGCCAUCAUUGCAUAAGGAAAGGUUUGUAACUGGCUUGGUGUUUAGCUUUAUCCUCUAGUCAGUGCAGAGUACCUUCCAGGACCAUGAAUGCUAGUGAGCAGACAACCCUCUACUUUUAGUUUUAUCUACUUUCUACUUGCCUUUUGCAAAUUUGCAGAUCAACUAGAACACACAGACUGACUACGCCGUGGACGUUUGUUUCACCUUCUGUAGUUCCUGUAGAGAACGCCAUCAGUCUAUCUUCUAAAUCAUCCCAAAAAGCAUAUCCAACUCACCACAAGUCUUUACACACCAUGCAGAAGUCAAAAGGAAUGAACAAUAUGGUUGAAUCUUAGGAAGAAAAUGUUGAAUUAGAAAGUGACAACUGCCCUGCUCUUCUGCUACCUGCUGAGAAGCUGAACCCGUUUUCCUGAGAAUUUCCGGAAUAAGCGGCCAGCCUGGCCACCGAGUGCUGACGAAAUGGCUCCAGGCACCAAGUGUGGAGCCGGCAGACUAGUGCUAACAACUUGGCAACAAUACAUCAAGAAGCCUGGCGGGGGUGGGUGGGGGGGGUGGGGGGGCGAUGGGCCUUCCCCCUUAUAAGCACGGUCUCUUAAUAAACUCGUGGGCCUUGAUCAGGA
rnacentral:lncRNA from 1 species